rnacentral:rRNA from 1 species
AUACGGAGGAUGCGAGCGUUAUCCGGAUUUAUUGGGUUUAAAGGGAGCGUAGAUGGGAGCUUAAGCCAGUUGUGAAAAGCGCGGGCCCAACCCGCGUCGUGCAAUUGGAACUGUGUUCCUUGAGUGGGUUCGGGGCAGGUGGAAUUCGUGGUGUAGCGGUGAAAUGCUUAGAUAUCACGAAGAACUCCGACAGCGUAGGCAUCCUGCCAGGCCCUUACUGACAUUGAAGCUCGAAGGUGCGGGUAUCAAACAGGAUUAGAUACCCUGGUAGUCCGCACGGUAAACGAUGGAUGCCCGCUGUCGGCGACAGACGGUCGGCGGCCAAGCGAAAGCGUUAAGCAUCCCACCUGGGGAGUACGCCGGCAACGGUGAGACUCAAAGGAAUUGACGG